CAUCAACUGUUGUGGAAAUGCAGCUGAUUAUUGAAGGAACUUUGGGUUCAUAAAGCCCUGAUUAUGUCAGACUAUCAACGGGGCAGUUUCAGGUUCUUCCAGGACUGUAACUUUGAAUGCAUUCAGGCCUCAGUCGCUCUAUUAUUGUUUUUAUUAUUAUUAUUAUUAUUAUUAUUCUUUAUUGAAACAUGCUCUAAGAUGCUUAGAAAACAGAUGGUACACUGUUGAGAGCUCAUUCCCAAAGCACUAUUUAUCUCUUUACCUGAAGUCCAGUCUCUCUACAGUGUGGAGCAUCCUGUCUGUUCAAUGUUUUAUUUAUCACCCAGGGACUGACGUGACCUCCUGUGUUUAAAAAGUACAAUAAAUUAUUGAAAGUCUGUUUUGGCAGCAACUAUGAAGAGAAUAUGUUUCUCCAAAUAUCUGGUUUUAGAGUCGAUCUCUUCUGUCUCAGUGCAUGUCCCACAGCUGUGGAACUUUUAGUCAUUGGUGUCUUGAUUUUACUAUCAAUAUUGGAGUACAGCCCACUUGCUAAUGUAGCCCACGACAUUUCCCCAGUGCCUGUCCUUAACUGUGAACGAAAUGGUCCAGAGACACACGGCGAAGGAGUUCUGUCCUCUCAUAGGAGUCUCGGUUCUCACUGGAAAAUGAGAGCAAAGCCUUAAAUUGGUCUCUAAAGCCGCUGAAAAUGCUACAAAUAUCUGCGGUCUGACUACAGAUGGCUCAGUGGAAUGAUAUCCUGAAAGCAGGGGUUGUACUUUUCCCGAUUAGUCUCACCACAAGCCUGAAAAAUCUUGGAAAACGGAAGAUAACGCCUUAGCUUUUCUUGGUAAGUUUGCCUCAAAAGGCUUCAUUUUGGGAGACAGAACUCUUCACUGUGUGGCUCUGGGGAGAACGAGGUGGUAAUUAAGCACUUGAUACCGGUUGUAAGGCGCUCUGCAGCUCUUUUUAUGCUUUUGGGUUUUAGAUGUUACAGAAACAUGACAGGAACUUAUAUAUUUUUUUGUACAAAUGUGACAAAAAUUAUGGUUGAAAACAGAAGUCUUCAGGGGCUAGCCGUGUUUUCACAGAGUUUAUUUAUCUCAUUUUGUUCCAUUAUUUUUAACUGUCAACACUGUAGUGUACAUAAGAAGUUUUGUAAAGAGGAAAAAAAACUUGUAGUGUGGUUUCUACUUUAAAUAUGAGCCUAGCUAAUAAAAGGUUCAAUGGAUGAAAA
ensembl:lncRNA